UACGAGGGGGGCAAGCGUUGCUCGGAAUUACUGGGCGUAAAGGGCGCGUAGGCGGAUAGUUUAGUCAGAGGUGAAAGCCCAGGGCUCAACCCUGGAAUUGCCUUUGAUACUGGCUAUCUUGAGUUCGGGAGAGGUGAGUGGAACUCCGAGUGUAGAGGUGAAAUUCGUAGAUAUUCGGAAGAACACCAGUGGCGAAGGCGACUCACUGGCCCGAUACUGACGCUGGAGGCGACGAAGCGUGGGGAGCAAACAGG
rnacentral:rRNA from 1 species